GGUAUCAGAAGUGCGAAUGCUGACAUAAGUAACGAUAAAGCGGGUGAAAAGCCCGCUCGCCGGAAGACCAAGGGUUCCUGUCCAACGUUAAUCGGGGCAGGGUGAGUCGACCCCUAAGGCGAGGCCGAAAGGCGUAGUCGAUGGGAAACGGGUUAAUAUUCCCGUACUUGGUGUUACUGCGAAGGGGGGACGGAGAAGGCUAUGUUGGCCGGGCGACGGUUGUCCCGGUUUAAGCGUGUAGGUGUGUGUUCCAGGUAAAUCCGGUUCACUUUAACACUGAGGCGUGACGACGAGGCACUACGGUGCUGAAGCAACAAAUGCCCUGCUUCCAGGAAAAGCCUCUAAGCAUCAGGUAACAUCAAAUCGUACCCCAAACCGACACAGGUGGUCAGGUAGAGAAUACCAAGGCGCUUGAGAGAACUCGGGUGAAGGAACUAGGCAAAAUGGUGCCGUAACUUCGGGAGAAGGCACGCUGACAUGUAGGUGAAGUGAUUUACUCAUGGAGCUGAAGUCAGUCGAAGAUACCAGCUGGCUGCAACUGUUUAUUAAAAACACAGCACUGUGCAAACACGAAAGUGGACGUAUACGGUGUGACGCCUGCCCGGUGCCGGAAGGUUAAUUGAUGGGGUCAGCGCAAGCGAAGCUCCUGAUCGAAGCCCCGGUAAACGGCGGCCGUAACUAUAACGGUCCUAAGGUAGCGAAAUUCCUUGUCGGGUAAGUUCCGACCUGCACGAAUGGCGUAAUGAUGGCCAGGCUGUCUCCACCCGAGACUCAGUGAAAUUGAACUCGCUGUGAAGAUGCAGUGUACCCGCGGCAAGACGGAAAGACCCCGUGAACCUUUACUAUAGCUUGACACUGAACAUUGAGCCUUGAUGUGUAGGAUAGGUGGGAGGCUUUGAAGUGUGGACGCCAGUCUGCAUGGAGCCGACCUUGAAAUACCACCCUUUAAUGUUUGAUGUUCUAACGUGGACCCGUAAUCCGGGUUGCGGACAGUGUCUGGUGGGUAGUUUGACUGGGGCGGUCUCCUCCUAAAGAGUAACGGAGGAGCACGAAGGUUGGCUAAUCCUGGUCGGACAUCAGGAGGUUAGUGCAAUGGCAUAAGCCAGCUUGACUGCGAGCGUGACGGCGCGAGCAGGUGCGAAAGCAGGUCAUAGUGAUCCGGUGGUUCUGAAUGGAAGGGCCAUCGCUCAACGGAUAAAAGGUACUCCGGGGAUAACAGGCUGAUACCGCCCAAGAGUUCAUAUCGACGGCGGUGUUUGGCACCUCGAUGUCGGCUCAUCACAUCCUGGGGCUGAAGUAGGUCCCAAGGGUAUGGCUGUUCGCCAUUUAAAGUGGUACGCGAGCUGGGUUUAGAACGUCGUGAGACAGUUCGGUCCCUAUCUGCCGUGGGCGCUGGAGAACUGAGGGGGGCUGCUCCUAGUACGAGAGGACCGGAGUGGACGCAUCACUGGUGUUCGGGUUGUCAUGCCAAUGGCACUGCCCGGUAGCUAAAUGCGGAAGAGAUAAGUGCUGAAAGCAUCUAAGCACGAAACUUGCCCCGAGAUGAGUUCU
rnacentral:rRNA from 4 species